AGUGAACGCUGGCGGUAGGCCUAAAACUUGCAAGCCGAACGGAAGCCCAGUAAGGGCUUGCUCUAAGGGGGGGGGGGUGGCGAACGGGGGGGGAUAAAACCGGAACCUCUUUUUUGGUGGGGGUAAAGGUGGGGAAACUUACGUUAAUACCGCAAAGGACCUAGGGGGGAAACAAGGGGUCCUUCGAACUUUGCGGGUUUAAAUAAGCCGAUGCCGGAUUAGCUAGUUGGGGGGGAAAAGGCCAACCAAGGCGACGAUCCGUAGCUGGUCUGAGAGGAUGAUCAGCCACACUGGAACUGAGACACGGUCCAGACUCCUACGGGAGGCAGCAGUGGGGAAUAUUGGACAAUGGGCGCAAGCCUGAUCCAGCCAUACCGCGUGGGUGAAGAAGGCCUUCGGGUUGUAAAGCCCUUUUGUUGGGAAAGAAAAGCAGCAGGUUAAUACCCCGCUGUUCUGACGGUACCCAAAGAAUAAGCACCGGCUAACUUCGUG
rnacentral:rRNA from 1 species